rnacentral:lncRNA from 1 species
UUUUUUUUGGUGAAGAGAAUGUGAAAAUAUUUGCCCAUUUUUUGGAUUUUUUUUGUCCUCUUAGUGUUGAAUUUUGAGAAUUCUUUAUGUAGUCUUUAUUUUUAGCAGGUAUGUACUUUGCAAAUAUUUUUCUCCUAUGUUUUCUUCUACAAGUUUUAUAGGUGUAUAAUCUAGUUAGAGUUAAUUUUUGCAUGUAGUACAAGGGACAGAUGCAGGUCCUAUCUUUCUUCCCUCCUUUUCCCCUCCUUCCCUUAUUUAACAAUGUUACAAAGUGGCAAAGGACUUGGCUAAAUUGUGUUUGUGUCCUGGUGUUUUGUGGAAGGCAGCACCUGUAAGGGAUGAAAUUAGAUAUUUAGCUGAAGCUGUUUCCAAGCAAAUUGUUGAAGGUAUAAGCUGAAUCCAGUAAAUCUUGAAUCUUGGCUGCUUACAAUAAAAUGUAAGAAGAGAGAAAUGACUUAAAGUCAAGAUUAUUAAUCAAAAGGGAAGCAAAUUUAAAGACUCUAGCCAGUUGUAAUGGUAAACACCUGUAAUUUGAACUACUCGGGAGGCUGAAGCAGGACUGAACAUUCAGUCUAAGCAGUUUAGUGAGAUACUGUCUUAAGAAAUAAAAAUUAAAAGGGCUAUGGAUGUAGCUCAGUUGUAGAAUUCUUGCCUAGCAUAUGUGAGGCCCUACAUUCAAUUUAAGGGGGAAAAAAAAGAAAGAAAAGAAAAAAAUUCUCAUUCGGGUCAAGACUGUAAAUUGAAAAAUCAUGUUCAGGAGAGAACAAGGAUAUGACCAAAGGACCAUCUGAUAAGAUUAGCUCAACGUCUACACAAAAACCAGGAACUACUGUCUAAGAUGGUAGAAGAACAACCCUCAGAACAGUUCCGGGAUGCCACCUCAACAGGAUACCACCAUCAAGUGUGGGGAGACUGCAGAGAGUCCUCAUGAGGACAGUGUCUAGUUGGCCAUCGUAAUAGGGCUACCUCCAUGACCCCAGACUGGCAGAGCCAGUUGUGCAUGAUUCUAGCUCAGAAGAACCAUGGGCACACGACGCAGGCACAGAGCCAUGUGCAGGGCUGCCAACCCAGUGGGUACAGAAGUUCAAGCACUGAGGCAAAAAAGAUCAUUAUUGAGCAUCAAGAUUUCUGACUUUAUGGAAGACAGUGAUAUAUGCCUGUAGUCCCAGCUACUCAGGAGGCUGAGGCAAGAGGAUCAGUUGAUUGCAGCCAGCCUGGGCAACACAGUGAGACCCUCUCUCAAAGAAAAAAAAAAUUAUCCAAAAGCAUUUCUGCCAAAAAAGAAGGAGGAGGAGGAGGAGGAGGAGAGAAAGAGAGAGAGAGAGAGAGAAAAUAAAUAAAAAAGAAGACAACAACAACAACAACAAAACUAUUGGUGGUGCUGGGGAUCAAUCCCAGAGCCUCACACAAGCUAGGUAAGCACUCUGCCACCAAGCUACACCCCCCGUAAUUAGCAUUAAGAUUUAAUGUUACUUGCUUUGUUGAGAUUUGGUCUUCCUUGGGACCUGUUUUCUUUUUUCCUGUUUAUCCCUUUUGGAAUGAGAAUGUAUGUCUAUCCCAGAAUUGUAGUUUGGCAGCACUUAUAUUUUUUAAUUUCAUGAACUCAUAGCUGGAGAGCAAUUUGCCUCAGGAUAAAUAAUAGAUGAUAUUUAGAUGAGACCUGGACCUUAGAUUUUUUACUUGAUACUGGAAUGAAUUAAGUCUUUUAGGUUAUUGAGAUAGAACUAAUGCAUUUUACAAGUGAGAAGGAAGGACUUUGGGGGGACCAGGAACAGAAGAAUGCUAUGAUCUGAAUGUUACGUUCCCCUCACAUGCGUAUGUUGAACUUGGUCCCCAAAGUGAUGAGAUUAGAUGAGGCCUUUGGAAUAUAAUCAGGUCACAAAGGCAGAGUCCUUGCUAUUGGGUACUGUCCUUAUAAAAGAGAUCCCCGGAAAGCUAGUUUGCCCCUUUUACCCUGUGAGGAUACAUCACACAACAAGAGUGAUAAUUGACACUUAGUGAGAAGAGCCUCUCCAAAUAAAGAGCUAAGCACAAUCACUAACAAUCGAGCACUAGACUGGAUUCAGAGGAAAUUAUAAUCUUCACUUCUAUAUAUACAAGGGAGUAUGUCCUCAUUAGAAACCAUCUGCCAGUACUGUGAUCUUAGACUUGGAACCUUCAAACUGAGAAAUAAAUGUCCACGGUUGAUAUGCAACCCAGUUUAUGGUGUUUUGCUAUAGCAGCCCAUACUAAUACAGUAUGUGCCUGGGAGAGGUAAAGGGGCUCUGAACCACUCUCCUCCGCCCCCAUCUUGCUUUAGGCAUCACUUCCAUGUGGAUGCUCCUGAGUUGUAUCCUUUAUAAUAGUCUAGUGAGCUAAGGUAAAGUCUUUUCCUGAGUUCUAUGAGUUGUUCUAGAAAAUUCUCAAAAGUGAGAAGGCAGUGUUGGGAAUCUCCUGAGUUUAUAGCUGUUGGUCAGAAGAAUAGGGGCAACGUGGGGCAUGUGCCUGGCAUCUGAAAUGGGGCAGUCUCGUGGGAUAGCCCGUAACCUGUGGGAUCUGUGCUGAAUCAGGUGGGUUACAACUAAAUUGAGUUGUUGAAAACUCAUCCGAUGUUGGAGAAUCAGAGUGUGAGAUAUUCCCAAAUCACUGAAGUUUUAUAAAGAAUGGAUGUUAGAUUUUUUUCCAAAAAAAAUUGUUUAUUGAAAUGUUUAACAUAAACUUUUAGUUUAUGGUGAAUUAGGUUGAUUGUUUUUAGAAUGUUAAACCAACCUUAUAUUCCUGACAUAAACCCUCUUGGUCAUGAUAUGCUAAACUUGAAUAUUUUGGAUUUGAUUUGCAGUUCAAUCCCUAGAAUAAAAAAAAACAAAACAAACAAGCAAACAAAAUCCAACAACAAAACUAAAACCAAAAAAAAAAUUUAUUAUAGAUUUCUUAUGUCAAUAUUCAUAAAAAAAUGUUGAUUGUAAUUUUCUUUUUCUGAUUUUAGUUUCAGAGUAAUACUGGUCUUUCAGAAAGAAUUGGGAAGUAAUGUCACAUCUUCAACUUUCUGGAUGUUUCUAUGUGUACUGCUUCUUCCCUAAAUGUUUGGUAGAAUUCACCAGGGAAGCUCUCUGGGCCUUCAGUUUCUAUUGUGGAGAAAAUUUUAAACUACAAAUUUAGCUUUAACAGAUAAACAAAUAUUCUGGUAAUUUAUUUCUUCUUGGGUGAAUUUUGAUAGUUUGUGCCCCUUACAGAAUUUAUGAAAUUUUGGCAUAAAGUUGUUCUCAAUAGUCCCUUAUCAUCUGGCAUGUCCUUUUGAUUGACUGACCCCUUCAUUAAAAUGCAAGGGCCUUGGUAAUUUAUAAAUUGUAAGCCAAAUUGCAAAGAGCCAUUUUUACUUUCUUAGGAUUUAUGUUAGCACAAUCAGUCUUUUUCCAUUUUUAUUAACAUUUAACCUAUAUUGUGAUUACAUUUAUAGUGCAUUUGUGAUAAGCAGUGAACAGUUAGGUCUUGAUUUUUAUUCAUUCUGAAAAAUGCCAUUUUAAUUAGAGUGUUUAUAUCAUUUUGAUUUAAGGUGGUUUUCAAUCUGGAUAGGUUUGAGGUCUAUCACCUUGCUAUUUGCUUCUAUUUGUCCAAUCUAGGGUUUGGUUUCUUUCUUUCUUUUUAAAACUUCUUUACAAUUAACCUGUGAUUCAACUUUAUCUCCUUUGCUGGUGUUAUAGUUUGGGUAUGAGGUGUUCCCCAAAAGCUCCCAUGUUAAUGUAGGAAUAUUCAGAGAGGCAGUGAUUGGAUUGAAUGGACUAACUGGAGGGUAACUGAAGGCAGGCGGGGUAGGAGUAGGUGGAUCACUGGGGGAGUGCCCUGGAGGGUUCAUCUUCCCUAUGACCCCUUCCCCUUGCUCCCUCCACUUCCUGGCUGCCAAGAGUGGAGCAGAGCUCCUUCACCAGAGCCUCCUUCCAAGAUGUGCUUCCUCACCUUGGGCCAAGGGCAAUGGAAUUGCCCACCACAGACUGAAACUUUGAAACUGCCAGUCAAAAUAAACUGUCCCUCUUCUAAACUGCCCUUGUCAGGUAUUUUGAUCAGAGGAAUGACAGGCUAACACAGUUGGAUUACUAGAUAUGACUCUUUCUUUAGUUUGCUGGUUGUUUUGAAAGGUUAUGGAAAAUAAUUUUCCAACAAGACAGCUUUCGGAGAAAAACAGAGGGGCAGUGUGCCUCGGGGGGAGGGAGGGAAAUUAGCCAAAUAUUAACAAAGGGCCCUGAGGCAAAAAGCAGACUUUCAUCCCUUCCUGGGUUUAUCCCCAGCGUCUCCAUCGAAAGCAAACAUUCAUCCCUUUCCAACCACAGCAGGUCCUGGAGGGAGGAGGCAAAUACUGAAACUCUGGGCCCUGGACUUUUACCCUUUCCCACAGCCAAUGAGUCCUGGAAGGAGAAAAGCAAAUGGUGAAGCUCUGGGUAACAGCGGGUCCCAGAGAUAAGCAGUGAACACCGAGUUGUGAGAUUUUUCCCAGUGACAACAAGUUUAAAACUUUUUACAAUUGCCCUCCUGGGUUAAAAUUUUAACCUACACAACUAGUUCCCUGACUGUCCAAACUGCAUGUCCGCAUCUCCAAUGGUUAAUUCACCCUCCCUGUAAUCUAUAAAACCCAGACUCCUUCUGUAACCCCGGGGGCCAUUUUCAUACCCAGAAAAUGAGCCCUCCCGUGCCUGAUGGAUUGACUGCGCUGCAGAAUAAAGGAAAGGCUGCUGAUCCAAGGUUUGCUUCUGGCGCUUACAGCCUUAGUGCUUAUAGUAUGCAUUAUCAACCAUCAGUCUACCUAGUGAUAUUAGACCACUUUAAAAAUUAAAACCUUACAAUAGUAUACUUAUAUUUUGCCUCUUCUAGUCUUUAUCCUAUCGUUGUCAUUCAUUUUGGGGAGAGGGGGUUACUGGGGAUUGAACUCAGGGGCACCUGACCACUGAGCCACUUCCCAUCCCUAUUUUUUAUUUCAUUUAGAGACAGGGUCUCACUGAGUUGCUUAGUGCCUCGCUUUUGCUGAGGUUGGCUUUGAACUCACGAUCCUCCUGCCUCAGCCUCCUGAGUCGCUGGGAUUACAGGCGUGCACCACUGCAUCCGGCCUGUCAUACAUUUUUAUAUAUUUCAUAAAUCCUCCAACAUAUUAUUAUUUUGAGCAAUCAAUUAAUGAUUUAAAUAAUAUGAAAAAAUGCCGCGUCCGGCUAACGGAGCCGAGUCCGGCGAGGGACGGCGGGGUUAAAAAUACACAGGACACCAAGGUUCUUCAUCCAGGAGGGAGCGUGUGCGCGCUUUAUUGCCAGAUUUGUUCCCCUUAUAUAUCUUUUUAACAGCUGCGGGAAAUUACUCAAAAGUGAGGAGGGAAGAGUAAUAACUGCGUCCUUGGGUUACCGUCACGUCACCGUCCNGGGUUGAGUCCCCAGGGGCCAGGGCGGGCCUGCUACCAGCAAAAAAAAACAUGAUUUCCAUUUCUGAUGCUUUUCAUUACUUUGUGUAGAUCCAGAUUUCCUUCUGCUGAAAGAAUUUCCUUUAGCAUUUCUUAUGAGUGAUGAAUUCUUUCAUUUUUUUAAAUGUCUGAAAAUAUUUUUGUUUCACUUUCACUUUUAAAAGAUAUUUUCACUAGAUAUAGAAUUUUAGAGUGCUAUCUUUCUUUAGUUCAUAUUUUUAAGACUCUUUUUGCUCCAUUGUCUUCUUGGUUGGCUUGUUUCCAAGGAGAAUUCUAAUACAAUCUUUAUAUUGUUCCUCUGUAUAUAACAUGCCUUUCCUACACCACCUGACUAUGAUGGCACUGGUCUAUAAUCCCAGCUGCUCAGGAUGAGACAGGGAGAUUGCAAAUUUGAGGUCAGCCUAGACAAUUUAGUGAGAUCCUGACUCAAAAUUGUGUCCAUCUAGAACUAAAAAAUAAAUUACUAUUUUUUAAAAAGGAAAUCUAUAAAGUCAGCUGUGGCAGACACAGUUCUGUCCAGAUUUCCCUUCAAGGGAGAGCUUUUCACCCUCCUGUGGUGGGUGUCAUCAGUUUCCAGUUAUUAGUUCUGUGGGAUUGUCCUCAGCUGUGCUAGUUACAUCCUGUGACCAGCCAUUCCAGCCUCCCAUGGGCUAUUUUGAUGGGCAAUGCUGGUUCCAGAGUCUGCACCAGAAAAUAUAAAGAGCUGGUAUAAAGCUCAGUGGUAAAGCACCCCUGGGUUCAAUCCCCAGUACCAAGACUUUCUCUUUAUUAUUAGUUUUCAGCAAAUUGAACCUGAGGUUCCUUAGUACAGUUUUUCAGUGUGCUUUUUGUGCUUGAGUUUUGCCAUUCCUAUGGCUGUGACUUCAUAGCCUUUAUUAAGUUUGGAAAACUUUGGUCAUUAUUUCUUUAAAUAAUUAUCUUUCCCUCCCUUGACCUAUCCUUUCCUUCAGGGACUCUACCUACUCCAUAUAUUUGGGACACUUGCAGUCCUCCCACAACUCACUAGUGCUCUUGAAUUAAAAAGUAACAUGUUCCUCUUUGUUUCAUCUUGUGUAAUUUCCAUUGUUAUAGCUUCAAUUUCAUAAAUCAUUUCUUUCACUGCGUGUAACCUGCUGAUAAUCCCACUUGGUCUAUUUUUUUUGUGAUACUGUGGAUUUCGUCUCUACAAAUUCAACCUGAAUAUUUUUAAAUCUUCCAUGUCUUUAACUUCUUGGAAUAUGGGAUCUAAUUAUAAUACAUUUAGUGUCUUUGCUAAUUCUAACAUCUGUCUAGGUUCUGAUUUGAUUUUGACUGUCUGGUUACCUUUCUCAUUAUGGGACACGUUUUCCUGUUUCUUUGUCUGCCUGAUAAUCUUUAAUUGGAUGCCAGACAUGGUGACUUUGACUUUGUUGGUGCUGGUUAUUUUUGCCUCUUAUAAAUCAUACAUUUCGCUCUGGGAUGCAGCUGAGUUACUUGGAAAGAGUUUGAUCUUUUCUGGUAUUGCUGUCAUUAUUUGCUAAGUGGGCCCACCAGCAGUGGUCAGUCAAGGGCCAAUUAGUCCCCACUGCUGAGGCAAGACCCCCCCAGCCCUCCUCUCAAUGUUUCACAUGUAAUGAGUUUUCCAGUCUUGCUCAUGGGGACAGGCUCCCUGUUUAAGCUCCAAUCACUGUUCCCUCCACCCUUUCAUCUGGUUUCUUCCCUGAGCUUGGAGAGCUUCCUCACAAACAUGUGCUGAUCAGUGUGCUACUGUAGCUCAGGGGACAUCUGCUGUCUCUCCCCUGGUCUCCAGUUCUCUCUGUAGCCCCCUCCUCUCUGGACUCUGUCCUAUGUGCUCUAACUGCCUAGGCCUCCACAACUCUUAGCUCCAUCUUUGAAACUCACACUUUGUAUGAGUUCCCUCUUACAGUGCCCUGGCCUGGAAGCUCACGGUGGUAAGGAGGGGCCAACUGUACCUUCACCUUAUGAUUCCCAACUUGGGAAUUAUGGUUCUUCAAAGUCUGAGGUCCAGUGUCUUCAAAACCGUGACUCAUAGGUUUUGUGCUUAUCAUUGUUGUUUCAAAAGGGAGGGUUUAUUCAAUUCCUGGCACCCCAUCUUAGCCAGAAAAGAAAGUAAUAAACCCAGUUUUAACAAAUAAUUGUUUAGUAUUAGAAAGGAAAUCUAUAAGGGAAUGGAGUUAUAGUUCACUGGUAGACUGCUCACCUAGCAUGUUCGAGGCCCUGGGUUCCAUCCUCAGCACCACAUAAAAAUAAAUAAGUAAAAUAAAAGUAUUGGGUCCAUCUACAACUAAAAAAUAAAUAAUUAUUUUUUAAAAAGGAAAUGUUUAAAUUCAGCUGUGGCAGACACAGUUCUGUCCAGAUUUCCCUUCAAGGAAGAGCUUUUCACCCUCCUGUGGUGGGUGUCAUCAGCUUCCAGUGACUAGUUCUGUGGGAUCGUCCUCAGCUAUGCUAGUCACAUCCUGUGACCAGCCAUUCCAGCCUCCCAUGGGCUAUUUCGAUGGGCAGUGCUGGUUCCAGAGUCCACACCAGGAUGGGCUGCUGCUUUGUCUGGCCUGCGUGGUCACUGAAGUUCCUCUUUGCUUCUUGCUACCUCUCCUCCUUUCCUUUUGUAGGUGUUGAUUUACAUACCUCGCAAACUAACUCUGUCUGCUUUCUGGAGUUGCUUCUAGAAAACCCAACCUGUGCUACCAAUUCCUAGGUAACUUAGGAACUUCUGCCAUGACCCAUUCCAUUAAUGUCACUUGUCUACAAGAACUGAAAACUCGCCACUAGAAUUUAGUUCUAAAUGACCACCUAAUUUUCACUGUGUGUGUGUGUGUGGGUGUAUGUACAUGCACACGCGCAUGCACAUGUGACUUGGAAAAUUUUGUUCUCUUGGAAAAUGUGUCCAGAGAUUAGCCCUUAACAUUUUAUUGCAGGGAGGAAAAGUCAUAAAAUGAGGAAAGAGGGCUCUAGAUGAUGUAGCAUGCCUACUUUUUCAUCCUGAUGUGGCCUUUAACUUCCCCUAUUUGGAAACUCUUAAAGGAUUCAGAAUUUACCUAUUUCUUAAGUGCACAUUUCAAAACUUGAAACAUUUCAGGACAAACUUGAGAGCUUGUAUCUAGAGAAUCUGUAAUAUCUUCAUUGCACUUAAGCACCGCCUCUGUCAGCUGGUGCCUUCAAGGGAAAACUGUUUGAACUGGAACCAAACAUUGUCCUGCUGUUUACAUGGAGAGGACAUGAACCACAUGAGCUAUAACUCCACUGCCCGGGCCGUGCACAGCACUGACUAAAUAUUCCCGGCAAAGCUAGCUUUCCUCUCUGUGCAGGCACUAGCCAUCUUGGCCACCUAGUGAGACUUGUGAACCCUCAAGAGCUUACAGAUUCCACGUGAGGGCUCUUCAUCACUUAGGCACAACUAACUGCAGAAAGAAAAAUCAUUGAAAUUUAUUUCCCUUCCCAUUUCAAGCCUGCCCACUCAAGACCUGCUAUAACCCAGGCUGAUGACAUUCUCAAUCUAUUCUUAAACAGGCAGGAAGUCAGUGUCACAGGACACCCUGUGGGAGGAUAGAGGUGAUGCUAGUACCGCUCUGAUGAUAAUUUGGGAAGCGCAUGCCACACUUGCCAUUUCUUGGAAUUCUUACAACAAUCCUUUGGUGUAGAUAGUGUGAUGACUGUUUUUCAGAAGGCUCCAAAAUGGUAAGUAACUUUCCAGGGAGGGACAAUGCUGGGAUUAGAAGACAAGGUCUUUCUGAUUCCAAGGCCAAAGCUCUUCCCACAUUGCCAUGCCACUUACAUCAUGGGGUGAUGGUGAGGGUUACGUGCAAGUGAUGGCUGUAAAAUGCCAAACUGUGUCUUAGCAGGAGAGGCAACAGCUAGAAGGAGGAUUGCAGAGGCCGAGGAUGUUCUGAGUGGCCCAGGUGACUGACUGGCUGAGGGUGAAGCAUCACAAAGACCCAGACCGGUGAAGGACACACUUCUCAUUUGGAACCAAAAGACCUGCUUCCAGAGCCACAUUUGGAUUUGGCUUCAGAGCAUUAAGCAACAGUGAAAUUAUGAAUCCUCAAAAGCGUCUUUGACUUCCUCUAAAGAAAUCAUCAAUUUAACUGAAACUUGAUAAUUAAUAAACAGCUUAAACUUGGUGGUUAAUGUUACAUAAUCACUGAAAUGUGGAAAUUCUGCCAUUGUCUGCCCCUGCAGAGUCAUUGGGAGAAUCAAAUGGGCAAAACACUGUGGAUAUACUUUGUCAACAGUGAAGAAUUAAAGCUUAAGAAGCAUCACGUCGGACACAGGGAUGUGUUCUGAAAUCAGGGCCAAAGCAGAAUCACAUUCAGCUCUCUAAACCAUCCAACCCUCUUAGGCAAUGCAGAAACCAAACAAAAGGAACUGCAUGGUUCCAUCUGACCUCAUUCUCUUUCAGGUGACCAAGUGAUGCUGAAUUCACACAACUCUAAAUGAGCUAUGAUGCCACUUCACUGUUGCUAUUACUGUAACUAUUGGAGUUCCAUCUACCUGUGGUUCCUUAAAUCCUCCUGUGGGCUGCAAGGCUUCACACAGCACACACACCCAGGGUACAGAUAUGUGUGUGUGUGUGCACACACACACACACAUAUUCAUCCAUGGGCUCUAUUGUUAAGAAUGAAGGAUGAUGUCAACAUCGGUGUGUGAAUUUAUUUAUAAAAUAGUCCUCUACUAUGCUCCUGGUUCCAACGAUUUAAGGUUCCAACUACUUAAGGUUGCUGAGUAAUUU